rnacentral:lncRNA from 1 species
UUAUAAUUGACUACAAAUUUUAAUGGGCACCAAGAGUGUGAAAUGGUUGCUUAAAAAGUUAACAUGAUAUUAAGCUACAAUAAUAGAAAAAUAGAUCAUGGAAAAUAAAUGUUCUAAUUAUUCUUCAUUAGUCAGAUGAUGUGUUAAGCAUCACUUUGCUAUCUUGGCACUCUGAGAACUUACUCUUCAUCCUACAGAGAUGGCUGGAACAAAAAAACUUCAGAGGCGGUGCAUGUUGGAAACAUCUGAAGAGAAGUAUGACAAAGAGAGGACUUUUAAGAUAAGUGAGACACCUGAGAGCAAGUGUUGUGGGGGCUGUUGUACAGCAAGAGGAUUCAGUCAAAAUUUCUGUAGCCUAAAAUGUCAAAAAUUUUAAUGUGCAGUAAUUCCGGGGAAAUACCUUAAAAUAAAGAAGAAGAGUGCAGAUAACAGCUGGGCUCUAAUGAUGAAAAUGGCAGCCUUGUAAAAGAGCCAGUUCUCUAUAAUUAGAAGGGUGGAAGUAAAAGAAGUUGCAGGACUGGUGUGACAUUGAAGGGACUCUGUCUAUGGCUGGGGGCUUGCACUGCAUCAUCUCUGAAAUCUUUCCAACUCUAAGGCUCUGAUUCUAUAUGUGCCAGUCUCCAGUUCACCUGAGACUCUCAAUUCACUGGAUAGCAUCUGUCUAUUGACUACUUCUGCUGGAAUUCCCACCAAUUUUUUAGUAGGAAAAACUAUUUGGAUUUUUUUUUUAAUUCUUUGCUUCUACCCAUAGAUCUCCAGCACAGAAAGCGCCAGGAGCAAAUCAAAGAAGCUUCUAUUAUGGUUUGCUUCUAAGAAAUUCUACUUGGUCCCACCUCCUUGACUCAGAUGAAUUUCAAAUGCCCAUAUCCGGUUCUAAAGCAAAGUUGCAUUGGAAUUUUUACUGAAAUUUUAUUCUAAUGAUCCACUAGUAUGGGGAAAAUUGACAUCUUUAUAGUAUUGAAUGUUCCAUGCAGAAACAAGAGUCUUGCUCUGUUGCCCAGGAGUCCAGUGGCGCGAUCUCAGCUCACUGCAAGUUCCACCUCCCAGGUUCAAGCAAUUCUCCUGCCUUAGCCUCCUGAGCAGCUGGGAUUACAGGCACAUGCCACCAUGUAUGGCUAAUUUUUCUAUCUUUAGUAGAGACGGGGUUUUGCCAUGUUGGCCAGACUAGUCUCAAACUGUCAACCUCAGGUGAUCCACCAGCUUCGGCCUGCCAAAGUGCUGGGAUUACAGGCAUGAGCCACUGCACCCGGCCUAUAUUUAUCUUCAUAUAUAUAUUUACAUAUAUACACAAAUACAUAUACACAUAUUUAUAUAUAUACAUAUAUUUACAUAUGUACUAUAUAUGUAAAUAUAUAUAUCCUUUUCCAAAUCAUCAUUCUAACUGAUUAUUGCUGAUAUAUGAUAGCUACUACUUUAAAAGUAUUUUUCUUCCAAUUAAGCGGCUUACCAGAGUCUCAUAAGAUCUAAUCAUUUUAUGAAUUAUCUUUGGAGCUAUAGAGCUUUUAUUUGGCAAAAUUCAUUUAUUAAAAAUUCUACUUUCAACUAUGAAGCUAAUAAGCACUCAAUAAAGAAAAUUAGAAAUCUAGAAAAAAAUUACCCCAACAACUGAUAACGACUAGUAUCAUUUUGCUUGCAUCAGUUUUCAUUCUUUUUAUAUUGCAUAAUUUCUUUUACAUAAUUGUAAUCACACAGUAUAACUAACUGGGUGUACUUUCUAAAAGAAUAAAUGCCUUCAAUAUGCAAAGCUCUUUUGCUGGGAGUUUGUUUUAUAAGGAGCUGUGUGCUUCUCACUAAUGUGCAGAAAUGCUAAUGUAAGUUCUGCUACUGAGAGUUACUGAGUUCAGUUUGGUCCCUUCUUUUGCUGCAGGCCUGGCUUGGUGACAUUUCUACCACCCAAUUAUAGUUCAGCGUAACAAUCUCUCUCUCUUUGCACCACACAUAGCUGCUGACCUCACUGCACACUCAGCCGUUCCAUUUUAGGCUUCAGCCAGAAUCACUCUUACAGCACAGGUGAGGUGGAGAUUGCUAGGGGUUUACAAUUCCAUUUAGAACGCUGAAUAGAUCUCGAUCCACAUAAUUGAGAUUUCUUAAGAUAAUUUUCUAAGAACAUUUCUCAUGUGACUUGUUUACACAAGUGUGUACACAGUUUGGGUUUGGAUGGGUUGAUUUGCUUUUUCUUCUGGAUUAAAAUUUUAUAUCCUCACUUGUUCAUUUUGUUACCUAUAUGAAAUACUCUUUCUUUCCAUAACUUUCUACUUAUUCACCUUAACAGAGGAUUUCUCUGCCUUCUUAUAUAAAAUAGAAACCCCAGCUCUAAUUCCCCUGGCCAGACCCACCUCAGGCUUAUUCAGGGCUGGACAAAGGUAAAAAUGGAGGCCCAUAUAUCCUAUGUCUAAGGUCCAGUAGGGCUUCAUGAAUGCACAUGUUAACACCUCAGUCAGUCCGUCCUAGCGCCCUCAACAUGCCUCUUCCAAAAGCUGC